GAGACUUUUGACUGCCUCCAUCAGGACAUUCAUUUGCUGCAUGAGUGCAGCAAUCUGUGCGUCUGUGGUGACCACAGGAUGCGAAAAACUAGACUCUGCUACUGGAGAUGGGGGAGGAGUAUCUUUUCAAUGGAAAGAGUGCCUCGUCGAUCUAGUCGAGUGUUGGAUUUUUAUUUUCGGCAUGGUUGAUUGUGGUUUGCCCUUUAUCUGGUGCGCUAAUCUGUUGUGGCCAACUCCCUGUCGUCUGUU
rnacentral:lncRNA from 1 species